rnacentral:RNase_P_RNA from 1 species
UGCGGCGGCACAGAUGAUCGCGUGUUCGCAAGAGCUCGAGGAAAGUCCGAACUCCACAGGGCAGGAUGCCGGGUAACGCCCGGUGGGGGGUCACUCCCCUAAGGAAAGUGCCACAGAAAAUAUACCGCCAGCCUGGCUGGUAAGGGUGAAAUGGUGCGGUAAGAGCGCACCGGGGCGCUGGUAACAGGGCUCGCAUGGUAAACCCCAUUUGGAGCAAGGCCAAACAGGAAGCAUUUGAUCUUCGGAUCAAUAAGGGUUGCCCGCUCUCGUCUUCCGGGUGGGCCGCUUGAGACGGCCGGCAACGGUCGCCCUAGAUGAAUGAUCAUCGCCGCAGUGUCGGUGACGCCACUGCCGGAACAGAAUUCGGCUUACGUACCGCCGCAUCAG